GUGGUAAUGCCGGAUGCUCCAGUUGAUCGCAUGGUUUUCUGGGAAAGCUUUCGCGGUAUGGGAUGGGGUCGCGUCCUAUCAGCUUGACGGCGGGGUAACGGCCCACCGUGGCUUCGACGGGUAGCCGGCCUGAGAGGGCGACCGGCCACAUUGGGACUGAGAUACGGCCCAGACUCCUACGGGAGGCAGCAGUGGGGAAUAUUGCACAAUGGGCGCAAGCCUGAUGCAGCGACGCCGCGUGAGGGAUGGAGGCCUUCGGGUUGUAAACCUCUUUUAUCGGGGAGCAAGCGAGAGUGAGUUUACCCGUUGAAUAAGCACCGGCUAACUACGUGCCAGCAGCCGCGGUAAUACGUAGGGUGCAAGCGUUAUCCGGAAUUAUUGGGCGUAAAGGGCUCGUAGGCGGUUCGUCGCGUCCGGUGUGAAAGUCCAUCGCUUAACGGUGGAUCCGCGCCGGGUACGGGCGGGCUUGAGUGCGGUAGGGGAGACUGGAAUUCCCGGUGUAACGGUGGAAUGUGUAGAUAUCGGAAAGAAAC
rnacentral:rRNA from 1 species